GGGAUGCCAUGCAACUCGGCAAACAGCCGGUCAAUGAAUGAAUGCGAUGCACCGGUAUCAAAUAAAGCUCUAACUCGAAUACCAUAAAGUAAAAUGAUACCUGCGACCACAUUCUCGGUUGCCGCCGCCUCCUCAGUCUGGGCCGCAUACAUGCGCCCGCUCGGUGCCUGUCGUGACCCCUCCGCCUGCCGAUGAACUGGCGGCCGUCCGGCCUGAUGAUGCGCCAAAGAUGUUCCCUGGCUGGGGCCUGGCAAUGCUGGUGCAGAUGCCGAAGAUGGCGCUGGCGCUGGACUCCUCGGACAGUCCGACUGGAAGUGGCCCUCCUGGCCAC
rnacentral:lncRNA from 1 species